UCGGUUACGUAUGUAACCCUAGACGUCACGUCGUGACCGACUGAAAGGGAACGCGAACUAAACGACGUCAGCUGUGAGAUAAGCAACGUUAAGAUAAUUUGCCCAAACUUAGAAACACACCGAUCGGACAACCAGGCAAUUGACCCCCUGACCCUUUACAAGCGACCUGUUGGAGCAGCUUUCAAGUGUAUACUUAAAUCUUCAUGGGAAUGGUCCCGCUGAUCCAGGAUCAGGUCCCCCGAGCAAUCAACACCUAGAGGUUAGUUGGGAAUGUUGCUGAUGGUCAGCACAAAGAGACCAUGAUUCACUGCCAACAAUGAUGUGACGCUGAAAGCGGACAGUUGUUGGCCUGAUCAUGUCAUAGCAGAUUUCCUCCUUCUCUUGGAUCCAGACACUAGACCGGCUCAGCAGAACUGGACAGGUUUUGAGUUUCCCCCAGAGGACCGAGGAUUUCACAAUCAAUGAACACUUUGCUGAUUUUUAUUGGUUUUAAAGUUCCUUUACACCUUUGUGUUACAUAAUUCUUGCUAACGUUUUGAAGGUUUGUAUAGUGAUCAAAGGAUGCCAUAAUUAAAAUGGCCUUAAAUGGUAAUCAGAAUUUCAUGCUUUUAUACAGUAGUAUGCUAUGGUA